rnacentral:rRNA from 1 species
GAUGAACGCUGGCGGCGUGCCUAAUACAUGCAAGUCGAGCGAAUGGAUUAAGAGCUUGCUCUUAUGAAGUUAGCGGCGGACGGGUGAGUAACGCGUGGGCAACCUGCCCAUAAGACUGGGAUAACUCCGGGAAACCGGGGCUAAUACCGGAUAACAUUUUGAACCGCAUGGUUCGAAAUUGAAAGGCGGCUUCGGCUGUCACUUAUGGAUGGACCCGCGUCGCAUUAGCUAGUUGGUGAGGUAACGGCUCACCAAGGCAACGAUGCGUAGCCGACCUGAGAGGGUGAUCGGCCACACUGGGACUGAGACACGGCCCAGACUCCUACGGGAGGCAGCAGUAGGGAAUCUUCCGCAAUGGACGAAAGUCUGACGGAGCAACGCCGCGUGAGUGAUGAAGGCUUUCGGGUCGUAAAACUCUGUUGUUGGGGAAGAACAAGUGCUAGUUGAAUAAGCUGGCACCUUGACGGUACCUAACCAGAAAGCCACGGCUAACUACGUGCCAGCAGCCGCAGUAA